AUUGAACGCUGGCGGCAGGCCUAACACAUGCAAGUCGAGCGAGCGGCGGACGGGUGAGUAAUGCCUGGGAAUAGCCCAGUGGAGGGGGAUAACAGUUGGAAACGACUGCUAAUACCGCAGACGAUUGGAUUGCCGAGGUGGGAUGAGCUAGUUGGUGAGGUAAGGGCUCACAGAGGCGCGGAUCCCUAGCUGGGCUGAGAGGAUGAUCAGCCACACUUGAACUGAGACACGGUCCAGACUCCUUCGGGAGGCAGCAGUGGGGAAGAUUGCACAAUGGGGGAAACCCUGAUGCAGCCAUGCCGCGUGUGUGAAGAAGGCCUUCGGGUUGUAAAGCUCUUUCAGCGAGUAGGCGUUACUCGCAGAAGAAGCACCGGCUAACUCCGUGCCAGCAGCCGCGGUAAUAC
rnacentral:rRNA from 1 species